rnacentral:rRNA from 1 species
AUCAAUAAGCGGAGGAAAAGCAACUAACCAGGAUUCCCCCAGUAACGGCGAGCGAAGCGGGAAUAGCUCGAGCAGGCAAUCUCUGGUGUUGAUCGCCAGCGAAUUGUGGCCGGCAGAGGCGGAUGCACCUGAAGCGACUCCGUCGAAGUUGACCUGGAAAGGCACGUCGGAGAGGGUGAUAGCCCCGUGCGUGGCGGAGUCGCUGAUGGCCGCUACCGUCUUCGGAGAGUCGGGUUGUUUGGGAGUGCAGCCCAAAGUGGGUGGUAAACUCCAUCUAAAGCCAAAUAACGGCACGAGACCGAUAGCGAACAAGUACCAUGAGGGAAAGGUGAAAAGCACUUUGGAAAGAGAGUUAAAGAGGCCGCGAAACCGUUGGGAGGGAAACGCAUGCAGCCGAACUGGUCCGCGUCGAGUUCAGGGGGCUGCGAGAAGUCGUGCGUGUAGACGUCACCUUACGGGUCGYCUGUACGUCCGGACGCCUCGCAUUCCUGGUCUCUCGGCGGCAAGGACCAGCCAAGUGCGGUGGGCGCCGGUCGAUGAGCACGCGUCGGGCAGGUAGCGCAACUGCUCCGGCAGGGGCGAACUUAUAGCCGAUCGUGCGGAGCGUCCGGUACCCACCGAGGAGAGUGGUGGUGUUUGCACCCCCGUAGCGCAGGCCGCUUGCGGCCGGGGCGCUCUCGUUCUUUUCUCUGCCGCGUCGGGUCCACUGCUUGCAGUGCCCGGUGACGGUGGACGUUUCGGACGGGAGGUCGUCCACGCCUUGCGCUGUGGUCGCUUGGCUAGCCCUCGGUUGCAUUCGA